AGUUACAAAGUAAGUAACCAUUCUUUCUUCUUCGAGUGAUUUCUCAUGCCCAUUCUAUGUAGGUGACUCCAAAGCAGUAAUCGAAGGACGUGGGGUCAGAGUUCUAUCCUUCCACUGAGUAGAGGACCGCCCUACCCAGGGCAGCAUCCCCCCCUUGCCUGAUGCAUAAUGGUAAGCGAAGGAUAGAGGACCAUGUGACAGCCCUGCACCCCCUCAGUUAAGGAUAGGGACCAGAGCCAGAAAAGCUGCGGAGAAGGCCUGAGCUCUAGUUGAGUGGGCCGUGAGGGGAGUGUCUGGAAUCCCAGCCAUCCCGUAAGGCUUCCUAAUGCAGGCUGUGAUCCAAGAGGAGAUCCUUUGUGCCGAAACCGGCUGGCCUUUCAUCUGCUCUCCUAUGGCAAAUAAGAGCUGAGGUGACCUGCGGAAGGGCUUUUGUUCUUUCUAAAUAAAAAGCUAGAGCCCUCUGAAUGUCCAAAGUAUGUCGUGCCUGUUCCUUACCCGAUGCAUGGGGCUUGGGGGGUAAAAAACUGGUAGGAAGAGGUCUUGCAACACAUGGACACUACUUUCAGCAAAAAGGCAGGGUGGGAGCACAACCUGACUUUGUCUUUGAAGAAAACUGUAUAUGGGGGUUCCACCAUGAGGGCUCCAGUUUGGACACGUCUGGCUGAUGUGAUGGCCACCAAGAGGGAUAUUAUAGGACAAGUGUAAUAAGGAACAAGUCACCAAAGGUUCAAAUGGGGGUCUCAGAAGCUUAGACAGGACCAGGUUGAGAUCCCACUGUGCAACGGUUGCCUGCCAUGCAGGUAAAGCCUCUCCAGGCCCUUCAAGAAUCUGUUCACCAUUGGGUCCGCAAAAAAGGUCUUGCCCCUAAUGCCCAGAUAGAAAGCGGAAAUAGCCGCUAGGUGGAUCUUAAUCGAGGGGGAUGACAACCCUUGCAACCUGAGGUCCAAAAGGUAGUCCAGGAUCCAGGGAACUGGGGCAUCUACAGCCAAAAAUCCUCUUUGAGUAGUCCAGAUAUAAAACCGCUUCCAUUUGGCUAAAUAGGUAGCCCUGGUAGAAGGCUUCCUACUACCCAACAGCACCUCCUGCACCUGAGCUGAACACUGAAGCUCCGCCACCGUCAGCCACAAAGCUUCCACACCGUGAGAUGCAGGGGGCACAGGUCCACGUGCCGAAGCUUGCCGCCAUCCUGCGUAAUCAAGUCCGGUACCAUAGGGAGAGCUAUUGGUCUCUUGCAUGACACACUCAGGAGGAUCGAGAACCAAUGCUGUCUGGACCAUGCUGGGGCUAUGAGGAUCAGGGAUGCCCUGAAUUCCCGCACCCCCAGCAGCACUCUGUGGACUAAUGCAAAUGGCGGGAACGCAUAAAGCAGACCCCCGGGCCAUGGAAUGACUAACUCAUCUCCCCAAGAGCCCUGCCCCAUUCCCACGAGGGAGCAGAACUUCUGGCAUUUCCUUUUCUGUAGUCUGGCGAACAGGUCCAAAAGGGGAAAACCACAUUUGCAGAAGAUCCAAGCAGCCACGUCCCAUCUGAGACCAUUUGUGACCGGAGAAGGAUCUGCUCAGCCAAUCCGCCAGAUCGUUCUGGGAGCCUGGGAGAUAGGAGGUCAUUGGGUGGAUAUCCACCCUGAUUAAGAGAUCCUACAUGUGUAGGGCUUCCUGACACAAGUGACGUGAGCGGGCUCCACCCUGCCUGUUGAUAUAUGAGACCACCAACAUAUUGUCGGAUAGGAUGAGCACCGACUUGCCCCUGAGUCGAGGGAGGAAGGCCGCGCAAGCAAGGCAGACUGCCCAUGGUUCCCCUGUUAUUGAUGUGCUGAGAGAGAUUGUCCACAGUCCACAUAUCUUGUGUCUGUAUGUCGCCAGGGUGGGCUCCCCAGCCUGUGUCCGACACGUCUAUCACCAGCUGGAGGGUCAGUAAGGGCCCGGAGAAUGGUAACCCGGUGCAGACUUCCCCUCCCAGGUCCACCAAUCUACGGAUUGAAGGACCUCUGAGGGCACGGUCACCACUCUCUCCCACUGGUGAAAGGAUGGGUUAUGAGUGCAUGCCAGCCACAUCUGUAGUGGUCGCAUGUGGAGUAUGGCAUGUUGGGUGACAUAUGUGCAUGCGGCCAUUAGACCCAGGAGCCGCAUGCAAGUCCUGGCUGUAGUUAUCAGAAAUGCCUGCAGAUCCUGGACAGCUGACUUGAUCAUCAGGAAGUAGGACCUGGAGAGGGAGGCUCUUGCGGAUGUGGAAUCCAGAUUAGCACUCAUGAACUCUAUCACUGGAGUGGGUACCAAAGAUGAUUUGUCCACAUUCAGGAGUAAGCCCAACUCCCGGAAGAGAUCCUGAACCAGGGUGAUGUGGGCCUGCACCUGGUUUGCAGAGCUCCCUUGCAGGAGCCAGUCGUCCAGAUAGGUGAACACCUGGACUCUUUUUCCUCAAGGGCGGCAGCCACAAGGGUCGUGCACUUUGUGAAGACCCGGGGGACCGUGGAAAUCCCAAAGGGGAGGGCCAUAAACUGAUAGUGGUCUCUGCCCACCAUGAAGCAGAGGAAUCGUCAGUGGUGUGGAGCAAUGGAAAUGUGAAAGUAGGCAUCUUUUAGAUCGAGGACAGUGUACCAGUCUCUGAGAGCUAGGGAUGAAAUGAUAGAUGCCAGGGCCACCAUCUUGAAUUUGGGUUUGAUGAUGAAGGCAUUGAGAUCCCUGAGGACCAGGAUAGGACAGAAACAUCCCCGCCCCUCACACCCCACUUGGCUUUCGGGACCAGGAAAUAUUGGGAAUAGAAGCCCCUGCCCAGGACUCCUGGGGGAACCGGCGCUGUAAUCCCUAGAGCGAGGAGCUGAAGGACCUCCUCCUGAAGGAGAAGCUCGUGAGAGGGAUCCCUAAAGAGGGACGGGGUAGGGGGAUGUGAAGGAGGAGCAGAGUGGAAGGGGAUGACAUAGCCCCUUCCCACUGUCUAUAGGACCCAAUGGUCCGAGGUAACAUAUUCCCAGGCUUAGCAGAAAGGGAAUAGAUGAUCCUGGAAGGGGAGAGAUGAGACUGGUAAGCUGUCUUCAGGCGUACUCUCAGAAGCCUUGACAGGGCCCCGAGGACUUGUUAGGUGGGCCCUGUGCCUGAUCCUGGCACAGCUGAGGACGGCGCCUGCCGUUCCUCCCAUUGUUGGGAGAAAUCAGGGCAAGAGCCCUGCUGGGAAGGCAUUGGAGAGUUCCUGCCCAAGGAGGAUUGCCGCUGGGUGACAGGGGUGUGAAUGCCCAGUGACUUUAGCGUAACCUGGGUGUCCUUCAGCCCGUAUACGUGCUGGUCUGUCUGUUCAGAAAACGGAGACAGGCCCUCGAAUGGAAGAUCUUGGAUCGUAUUUUGGAGCUGCAGAGGUACCCCAGACCCUUGCAGCCAAGAGCUGCGGCAUAACACUAACCCAGUAGCCAUAGCACAAGCAGCCGCAUCGGAUGCAUCUAAGGCAGCCUAGAACACAGCCUUAGAGAUUGUUCUGCCCUCUUCUGAGAGGGCUCUGAACUUGGGCUGAGAAUCCCUCAAGAGGAGUUCAUUAAACUUGUCCAAGGAAAUCCAGGUGUUACACACGUAGCAAGAUAGCAAAACCAGCUGGUUCACUAUGAGAAGCUGUAGGCCUCCGGACGUGUAGGCCUUCCUCCCUAACAGAGCCAUCUUUUUGGCAUCCCUGUUCUUAAGGGUGGUGCCUGGCUGACAGUGCCUCUUCCUUUGGUUCACUGCCAAAUCCACCAGUGACCCAGGUUCCCCUCCAGGGCCAUGAAGUACCACUGUUCAACUCUCGUCUGUUGGUAGAAUGGAGGCCGGAGUUUGCCAGAGGGACUUGGAGAUCUUUGCCAUCAUUUUGUUGAUGGAGAAGGCCACUCUGGUGGGGGUGUCUGACUGUAGAAUGUCAACCGUAGAGUCAGAAUCCUCUAACACCCUCUCCGCCUGGAUCCCCAGGCUUUGGGCCAGUCGGCAAAGGAGGUCCUGAUGCACCUCAAGUCCAUGGAGACAUGCCCAGGGCCUCAUCUGGAGAGGAGGAUGAGGACCCCUUUGAGCCCACCUCCACAGGGUCCACUGCCUGCGAGGGAGCUUGCGAAGCCAUCAACUGGAGCAUUGUGAGUGGCCAGGUCAUGGGGCCCUCAGACUCCGAAGGGUAUGGGGAUGUCUGGCCUGGUGAAAGCGAUUGCUCUGAUGUAGGUGAUCGAGUAAGUGGGGUCGCCGAAGGAGAAGCUCUGGACACAGAGAAGAAUGACUCCCGUCUAGGGGGGCCACACCCUGACUCUGGUGGUAAGCCCACAGGGUCCAGAAGGGCCACUGAGAUGGAGGUGGUGCCAGUGGGAGCCAUGACUACUGCAUCCCCAGUACAGGGGCUGGCUGUGCCCAAUGAUACUGCUGUUGAUGGGCGGAAGUGCUACAGUGCUACGACCGGUGACGGGAAUGAGACUGGUGCUGAGAUUUUGAUCUUGAUCCCCUGGAGCACCACGUGGAUUCCACCUCUGAGUCAGUCGAAUACUCUGAAGCUAACCAUGGUGGUGCAGAGGCGGAUACAGCCAGUUGCCUUGAUGUCGGGGCAUGUCCCAGUGUGGGCAAGGAGGAGGGGGAGGCAUGGUCGGUGCCGGGCCUGGUGAGCUUUAGUUGGGACCAGAAUGUGCAGUAGCUGAUGCCAUGCUCGGUGCUGUUUGAGGCCCUUGUCCCGGCACAGAGAACAGUGAGAAGCAUGGGCUGGAGGUGCUGCUGGUGUGGCAGUGCUGGACCUGUGUUUUCUCGACUCUGGUGCCAGGACUCUGGGUGUCUUAGCUCCGAUCGGUGCUGACUGGAGUCCCGGUCCUUGGCUGAGGUCGGUGCCGGAGAAGAGGGGAACAACUCGAUAAGGUCCCUAGCAGCGUCGAAGGCCUCCAGUGUCGAAGGCUCUGGGAAAUCUCCCAUCGGGCUGCAGUCCUGGUGCAGACUGGAACAUUUGCCCAACCAAGAAGGUCCAGGCAGAGCCUGAAUAUGCUGCGUGCCCCAUCUGAGGGCAUGGGCUGGCGGGGCAGAGGAUGAUCUUCCCCCGCCAGACCUGCUCUUCUGAGGCACUGGGGAUUGAGAGCAGUGUCAUGGUUUAGGCAGUGCCGGCAAGGCCCGCAAAUGGCUCGACGCCUUUUGCACGAAGGCUGGUGUGCUCUGGGUCGCCAGUGCCAGGUGAGAAGCCGGUGCCGGCCGCAAAGCUGCUUCCAUUAUGAUGAUCUUAAGACGCGAUUCUCCCUCCCGCUUUGUGCGCGGCUUGAAUGCUUUGCAAAUUUUACAGGCUUCGGACAAAUGGGCCUUACCCAGACACUUAAGGCAGGCAAAGUGUGGGUUGCCACAGGGCAUAGGUCUCUGGCACGUCUCUCAGGGCUUGAAGUCUUUCAAUCCGGGCAUGCCCCACCGCUCACACCGAGAGUGCGGGGCAGGGACUACGGUGGGUCCUUAACUUAGGAAACUACUUAUCAAGAACUUGAUAACCGUAACUAUAACACUAGAACAAAGAAUUGUAAAACUAAGCUACAAAGGAGCAUUUGCUAAGCAAGAGCAGAAGCACGUCCCAAUGAUCCUCAGGGGUGGUAAGAAGGAACUGAAGGUUGGAGGGCCGGCGGGGCUAUAUAUGGGCCAGUAUAUCGGAAUAAUGAAGAUGUCUGCAAAACUUCACAAUACCAUGAGGUGGUGCUAAAGUUUUAUUUUCAAAUUAGCCAUCUGGCAAAAAACUGAAGUGCUUGUAUGAAUUUUUUCUUGUAUAAAAUAAUGAAAAUAUUUCAAACUGAUUAAAAUAUCCAGAAUAUAUACAGAAAAGUAAUCUCUAAACUGUAAAUGAAAACAUUUUUAGGGUGGGACCUGCAGUGCAAUAACAUGCCAUUUUAUUAAACAGGAGAUGCAUAAUCAAAUUUCAAGAAGGAAGAUAGUUUAGAAAAAUGAUACUCUUCCUCUCACUACCCUUCACUCUCCAUCUCUCCAAACAUAACAUUUGUUUAUUUCUGUUCCAGAAAUAAGCGUGCAGAUUCUCCACAGGGGCAGUGCCUGAUUAACUUUUAUCCCCUCAAUCACAAAUGACUCAUUUCAAUUACAGUGGAGUCUUGGUACAAUUCUCCGUGAAUAUGAGCUUUCACAUAUAUGGCAAUAGCAACAAUAUGACUUAUGAAGAAAAAAUUUAAACAUUGAUCACUGUGAAACAAAUAAAAGCCAAGAAAUGAAAACUUAUCAUGAGUCCAGCCUUAAUUCAUACAAUUCAGAUUCAGGGAGUACGAUAAGAAUAGUAAGAGGAGACAAACAUUAAAAAUACACAAUAUUUUUGUAACACAACCCAAAUUCGACUAGUUUUUAGUUGCUAGUUACAGAGGAAUUAGUUUCAUGUAAAGCUCUUCUUAUGGUCUGGUAUGUGAUAGAAAGUGCAAUAUAUUGAAAAGUCAAGAGUGCAGAUCUCCUUCAGUUGUAACCAUAGGCGCUAGUUCUGUGGGCACUUUGGUGUUCAGUGAGUGCUCCCCAUAUGACCUGCUUCCCCUUCCCUAGUGUCUUCAGCUUGUGCAGGAGGUGUUGUGGGAGGGAGGAGCAAGGGCAGGGUAUGUCUGAGGCAGGGGCAGAACAAGGUAGGAAAAGGCAAAGCAAAAGCAAUAUUGGGGAGUUGAACAACCCUCAAUAAGUCAUAAAGAUGGCAUCUAUGGUUGUGAUAACCUAUAAAGCUGAGAAUGACUAUGAACAUCUAAAACUAAGUGCAAUUCAAGGUGCUGGCCGUUUUAAAAAAUGCUGCCUAUCCUAAGACCUCCCUCAACUCAAUGUUAGCAGCAGCUUGCAUGCUCCUGCUGUAGAUCCUGGCUUGUAACUCUCCAGGAGUAUCAAUGGAUUUUUCUUAAUGGAGGGCCUCAGCCAAUGCAAUCUGCUCCCGCUGACUGUACGCCAGAGUUCUAGAUUUGUGUCAUUCAAAGCAGAACAGCAUCUACUGGGUGCACAAACAGUUCAAAUGAGCUACAGGGAAUUCAAUAACAAUAUGGCCU